rnacentral:rRNA from 1 species
AACGAACGCUGGCGGCGCGCCUAAUACAUGCAAGUCGAACGAGAAGCUGUAGCAAUACAGUUGUACAGUGGCGAACGGGUGAGGAAUACAUGGGUGACCUACCCUCGAGUGGGGAAUAACCAGCCGAAAGGUUGGCUAAUACCGCGUACGCUUCCCAGUCUACGGGUUGGGAAGGAAAGCGAUGCCGUGGGUAUCGCGCUCAAGGUUGGGCUCAUGUCCUAUCAGCUUGNGGUGGGGUAACGGCUCACCAAGGCAACGACGGGUAGCUGGUCUGAGAGGACGAUCAGCCACACUGGCACUGCGACACGGGCCAGACUCCUACGGGAGGCAGCAGUAAGGAAUAUUGCGCAAUGGGCGAAAGCCUGACGCAGCGACGCCGCGUGGGGGA